rnacentral:tRNA from 1 species
GGGCCUAUGGCUUAAUGGAUAAAGCGCCGGUCUACGGAACUGGAGACUCCAGGUUCGUUCCCUGGUAGGCUCG